UUUUUUUGCAGGAAAUUAUUUAAAAAACCCUUUUUAAAACCCAUUUCCUUCCCCCUCCCCAAUACAUUCACAUUUCCCGACCAGCUCUAGUUCUGGACUGAUUCUCAGAGGUUCUGAGCAUUCACACUGGGCGUGUGCAGCCCACAUAUAAACCAGGUCCAGACUUGCCUUUCAGCCUGUCAGCUCAUCUUACUGCCUACUAGAAGUGGGAGAGAGAUAAUUAGAUCAUCCCCUCCCGAUAGAGCUGUGAGAAGACGAAGACAAGACAUGGUUCCCAUAAGGAUGGGCAUUUAACUGGGGAGCGGGAGGAAAAUCCCAGCGAGCGUGGGAGUGUCUGAGCCCAGGCCAGCAGCGCAGAGGAGACGCACACUCACGUUCCGGCUUCCUUCACAAAGACAGAGAGCGCCGCAGGGCGCAGCUUCACCAGAGUUAAAGACAGGCAGAGCCAGCCCUUCCUGCAGCGGGGACAAGAACUGGCACAGACCCCAGGAACCAGCUGGCACGUACCUCUGCUGCACACGGGAAACUUCCUUCACCAGAGAGGUGAGGCAAGCCCGUGGCUGCAGCUGCGCGCGGCUCCUGACAGCAGGGAAGGGAUCUCGGGGACUGAGCACAGUAGCUGCCCCCAGGCACGCACAGACAGAGAAAGCGAGCCAGAGCCGCCGCCUGUCCCUACCCAGCAAAGCUCCCUCGCUGCCUGCCCGGACCCUGCCUGGGAAAUCAGAAGAGGAGGAACAGCAACAAGUGCGCUCCGGUCCUGUCCCGUCCCAGCCCUCUGCCCCCAGUCCAAGCCCCUGUGCGCCCCAGUCCCAUCCCAGCCUCUGUGCGCCCAGUCCAAGCCCCUGUGCGCCCCGGUCCCAUCCCAGCCUCUGUGCGCCCAGUCCCAGCCCCCGUGUGCCCCGGUCCCAUCCCAGCUUCUGUGCGCCCAGUCCCAGCCCCUGUGCGCCCCGGUUCCAUCCCAGCCUCUGUGCACCCCUUCUCCUCUCCCGCUCCACCCUUUGCACCCCACUGCCCUGCCUGCCUGUCUUUGCGUGCGCUCCUGUCAAGUCUCAGGGCGCUUGUGCUCCUUACAGCGCUGGGGAGCUGGAAAGUUUCCCGUCCCCAUCCAAGCCCUAUAAAAGGGAUUAUCUGAGCCAGAAGAACUUCCUCAUUUUGUUCCUUUCUGACAAACUCUACACUGGAGGUGGGUUCAUUUCAGUGGCAGGUAACAUGAUUCCAGAAUAUUGUUUGGUAAGGCACUGUGGAAUACCUCAGGAUGAAAGCUAUAACAUAAAUUGCUUCUCUUCUGAAGAUUUCAACACUUCACAUUGGUGGACAGGUACAACUACUCCAUUACUCCCACUUGACAGACGAGUAACAAGGCACAGAAAGCUUAAGAGACCACUCAGUUCAGAGCUGGGGAUACAACUUUGGUCUUCCACUUCCCAUCUAUUGGCUCAUGCUUCCUCCUUGAUGAAAACCCAGUUAAACUUCCAAGUACAGAGCCUUAUGCUGAGUUAGCCUACUUCAGUGUACUGUACAUUCCCAUUAGAGAUUAAAACAUGUUGUCCCAUCUUCAGGCUUCCAGAUGAGUUUUUAAGUCACAAUGACCUUUCAAGUCUCUGAACACAAACAAUGAAGUUAUGGGAAGUAAUAUAAGAGGAGCCUACAGGAGACUUCCAAUAAUUUUUCACUGAGAACAUGAUUUAAAAGACACUGGCAAAGAGAGUGAGCCAUUCUCCUAAGUGGAGAAGUUUGAUAGGAUUCCAGGUUUAUCCCUCGUAGUUCAGAGUGUUUUGUCUAGGAUCAUUCAGAAACAGAAGCUACAGUUCUAUUAGUACAUUUGCUUUGUCUGGAUAUGGGAACAAUGGGUCACAUUAAAAUAUGUACUAAAGGAAGAAAGCCUUUUAUCUGGAAAAACAGGUACAUAUGUUUUAUUGACAGUUUUAUUUUAGGGAGGCUAAAAAUAUUCUGCACAUGAAACCACUGUGUUACUGGCAACAGGAGGAAGAAAUGAGAGAUUCCUUGGAGGAUUCUAUUGUUUGGUGUGGUUGUGAUAUCCAGAGAUGUGAUGUUGGAACUAGGAUCAGUUAUGAUGCUGACCAUAAGAUAAUUGUAGAAGGGCGGACUCA